rnacentral:rRNA from 1 species
CGAACGCUGGCGGCGUGCCUAACACAUGCAAGUCGAACGGAGAUAUUAAUGAAGCUUGCGAUUUAAUAUCUUAGUGGCGGACGGGUGAGUAACGCGUGGGUAAUCUGCCCAUAAGUGGGGAACAACAGUUGGAAACGACUGCUAAUACCGCAUACGCUGUCGCAAGACAGGAAAGGUGGCCUCUGAAUAUGCUGCCGCUUAUGGAUGAGCCCGCGUCUGAUUAGCUAGUUGGUGGGGUAAAGGCCUACCAAGGCGACGAUCAGUAGCCGGCCUGAGAGGGUGAACGGCCACACUGGGACUGAGACACGGCCCAGACUCCUACGGGAGGCAGCAGUGGGGAAUAUUGCGCAAUGGGGGAAACCCUGACGCAGCGACGCCGCGUGAGCGAUGAAGGCCUUAGGGUUGUAAAGCUCUGUUUUAAGGGACGAAUGUUACGGGGAGUAAUAUGCCCUGUAAAUGACGGUACCUUAAGAGGAAGCCCCGGCUAACUACGUGCCAGCAGCCGCGGUAA